AUGGACCCUCCAGUUGCCGAUCCUGGACCAACCAAGGAUGAAGGUGUUGGAUCUAAGGGUGAAAUGGAUCUUCCAGUUGCCAAUCGUGGACCGGUGAGGGAUGAAGGUCAGCUUCUCCAGUGCCCAUAUUGUGAUUCCGAAGCAAUGCACAAACUAGCGCAAUUCUUGCUCCCUGGUUUGGCUGCGGUCUGUGUCGACGGUACGACGGGUGAUCUGUUCAGGAGCCCGUCUGUUGUUGCUGUUGACCUCAGGCAAGAAAUGGUGGACUACGUUACACAAAGAAGUGAAACGUUCAUAGCUGAUACUCUCAUUGAAUCGGAGGUGGAACAAAACGCUGAGAAUCAAAUGCCAGAUGACCCUUAUGAGGUCAUAUCAAUCUUCAUGGAUGAUUUCAGUCGCACGAAGAGGAACAUCAUUGGCCAUGUCUCUGGGUGGUUGUUGAGCGACAGCCGCGAAGAUAAGAUCGAUGAUUUUGUCCAGGAAAUGGAUAUGACCCGCUUCUGGCCACUAGAAAGGAGAGAAGGGAUCGCCGAGGUCCUCCUCAAGAAUGUGGACAUUAAAACUAAGUUCCACUGCCCUGAGAAAUAUGAAAACGAGGAACGUCUUGCUGAUCACAAGGCACAGUGUAGCUUCAGGCCUGUCACUUGCCCGAACGAUGGAUGCCGAGCGAAAGUUUCUGUCCGGUGCAUGCAGGAUCAUGAUGCAGCUUGUCUCUUCAAGAUCCUUCAGUGUGAGCAGAACUGCGAGAAACGGCUUCUGAGGCGUGAUAUGGAUAGACAUUGUGUUACUGUCUGCCCCAUGAGGCCCAUGAAGUGCCCUUUCGGCUGUGAUUCUUCGUUCCCUGAACAUAACCUCGAGGAGCACUGUUCAGAGAGUCUCCAGCAGCACCUGCUUAAGGUCCUUCAGGUGAUUCACAAGAAAGGUUUGACGGCUGAUCAGCUGAACGACCGUGCUCUAGAGCUGGAGAAGUCUGAAGUUCGUGGUAAACUGGCUAAAGCUCGGGAUGCAAGAUCUCUUACUAAUAUUGUGAAGGAUCUUGAAGCAAAGAAGACACCACCAAGUUGA
rnacentral:rRNA from 1 species